UGGGGAAUAUUGGGCAAUGGGCGCAAGCCUGACCCAGCAACGCCGCGUGAAGGAAGAAGGCUUUCGGGUUGUAAACUUCUUUUAAGUGGGAAGAGUAGAAGACGGUACCACUUGAAUAAGCCACGGCUAACUACGUGCCAGCAGCCGCGGUAAUACGUAGGUGGCAAGCGUUGUCCGGAUUUACUGGGUGUAAAGGGCGUGCAGCCGGGCAUGCAAGUCAGAUGUGAAAUCUCAGGGCUUAACCCUGAAACUGCAUUUGAAACUGUAUGUCUUGAGUGCCGGAGAGGUAAUCGGAAUUCCUUGUGGAGCGGUGAAAUGCGUAGAUAUAAGGAAGAACACCAGUGGCGAAGGCGGAUUACUGGACGGUAACUGACGGUGAGGCGCGAAAGCGUGGGGAGCGAACAGGAUUAGAUACCCUGGUAGUCCACGCUGUAAACGAUGGAUACUAGGUGUGCGGGGACUGACCCCCUGCGUGCCGCAGUUAACACAAUAAGUAUCCCACCUGGGGAGUACGAUCGCAAGGUUGAAACUCAAAGGAAUUGACGGGGGCCCGCACAAGCGGUGGAUUAUGUGGUUUAAUUCGAAGCAACGCGAAGAACCUUACCAGGUCUUGACAUCCUGCUAACGAAGUAGAGAUACAUUAGGUGCCCUUCGGGGAAAGCAGAGACAGGUGGUGCAUGGUUGUCGUCAGCUCGUGUCGUGAGAUGUUGGGUUAAGUCCCGCAACGAGCGCAACCCCUAUUGUUAGUUGCUACGCAAGAGCACUCUAGCGAGACUGCCGUUGACAAAACGGAGGAAGGUGGGGACGACGUCAAAUCAUCAUGCCCCUUAUGACCUGGGCUACACACGUAAUACAAUGGCGGUCAACAAAGGGAUGCAAAGCCGCGAGGCAGAGCGAACCCCAAAAAGCCGUCCCAGUUCGGAUCGCAGGCUGCAACCCGCCUGCGUGAAGUCGGAAUCGCUAGUAAUCGUGGGUCAGCAUACCACGGUGAAUACGUUCCC
rnacentral:rRNA from 1 species